rnacentral:rRNA from 1 species
UAACACUAACUGGAGGACCGAACCGACUAAUGUUGAAAAAUUAGCGGAUGACCUGUGGCUGGGGGUGAAAGGCCAAUCAAACCGGGAGAUAGCUGGUUCUCCCCGAAAGCUAUUUAGGUAGCGCCUCGUGAAUUCAUCUCCGGGGGUAGAGCACUGUUUCGGCUAGGGGGCCAUCCCGGCUUACCAACCCGAUGCAAACUGCGAAUACCGGAGAAUGUUAUCACGGGAGACACACGGCGGGUGCUAACGUCCGUCGUGAAGAGGGAAACAACCCAGACCGCCAGCUAAGGUCCCAAAGUCAUGGUUAAGUGGGAAACGAUGUGGGAAGGCCCAGACAGCCAGGAUGUUGGCUUAGAAGCAGCCAUCAUUUAAAGAAAGCGUAAUAGCUCACUGGUCGAGUCGGCCUGCGCGGAAGAUGUAACGGGGCUAAACCAUGCACCGAAGCUGCGGCAGCGAACGUAUCACCCAAGACAACUUUACGGAGUUGACGAUUGACGGAGCGAAGCGACGUCAAAGCGUUCAUUAAAGUCGAGUUGGCUUAGGGAUACGUUCGUUGGGUAGGGGAGCGUUCUGUAAGCCUGUGAAGGUGUGUCGUGAGGCAUGCUGGAGGUAUCAGAAGUGCGAAUGCUGACAUAAGUAACGAUAAAGCGGGUGAAAAGCCCGCUCGCCGGAAGACCAAGGGUUCCUGUCCAACGUUAAUCGGGGCAGGGUGAGUCGACCCCUAAGGCGAGGCCGAAAGGCGUAGUCGAUGGGAAACGGGUUAAUAUUCCCGUACUUGGUGUUACUGCGAAGGGGGGACGGAGAAGGCUAUGUUGGCCGGGCGACGGUUGUCCCGGUUUAAGCGUGUAGGUGUGUGUUCCAGGUAAAUCCGGUUCACUUUAACACUGAGGCGUGACGACGAGGCACUACGGUGCUGAAGCAACAAAUGCCCUGCUUCCAGGAAAAGCCUCUAAGCAU